rnacentral:rRNA from 1 species
CAGCCGCCGCGGUAAUACGUAGGGUGCAAGCGUUAAUCGGAAUUACUGGGCGUAAAGCGUGCGCAGGCGGUUAUAUAAGACAGAUGUGAAAUCCCCGGGCUCAACCUGGGAACUGCAUUUGUGACUGUAUAGCUAGAGUACGGCAGAGGGGGAUGGAAUUCCGCGUGUAGCAGUGAAAUGCGUAGAUAUGCGGAGGAACACCGAUGGCGAAGGCAAUCCCCUGGGCCUGUACUGACGCUCAUGCACGAAAGCGUGGGGAGCAAACAGGAUUAGAUACCCCCGUAGUGUCUGUCUCUUAUAC